rnacentral:rRNA from 1 species
UGCACAAGCGGUGGAGCAUGUGGUUUAAUUCGAUGCAACGCGAAGAACCUUACCUACUCUUGACAUCCAGAGAACUUUCCAGAGAUGGAUUGGUGCCUUCGGGAACUCUGAGACAGGUGCUGCAUGGCUGUCGUCAGCUCGUGUUGUGAAAUGUUGGGUUAAGUCCCGCAACGAGCGCAACCCUUAUCCUUGUUUGCCAGCGAGUAAUGUCGGGAACUCCAGGGAGACUGCCGGUGAUAAACCGGAGGAAGGUGGGGACGACGUCAAGUCAUCAUGGCCCUUACGAGUAGGGCUACACACGUGCUACAAUGGCGCAUACAGAGGGCAGCAAGCUAGCGAUAGUGAGCGAAUCCCAAAAAGUGCGUCGUAGUCCGGAUUGGAGUCUGCAACUCGACUCCAUGAGAGUCGGAAUCGCUAGUAAUCGGGAUCAGAAGACGU